rnacentral:rRNA from 1 species
UGGGGAAUAUUGGACAAUGGGCGGAAGCCUGAUCCAGCCAUGCCGCGUGUGUGAAGAAGGCCUUUUGGUUGUAAAGCACUUUAAGCGAGGAGGAGGCUACUUGGAUUAAUACUCUAGGAUAGUGGACGUUACUCGCAGAAUAAGCAUCGGCUAACUCUGUGCCAGCAGCCGCGGUAAUACAGAGGGUGCGAGCGUUAAUCGGAUUUACUGGGCGUAAAGCGUGCGUAGGCGGCUUCUUAAGUCGGAUGUGAAAUCCCUGAGCUUAACUUAGGAAUUGCAUUCGAUACUGGGAAGCUAGAGUAUGGGAGAGGAUGGUAGAAUUCCAGGUGUAGCGGUGAAAUGCGUAGAGAUCUGGAGGAAUACCGAUGGCGAAGGCAGCCAUCUGGCCUAAUACUGACGCUGAGGUACGAAAGCAUGGGGAGCAAACAGG